AACGAACGCUGGCGGCAGGCUUAACACAUGCAAGUCGAGCGCCCCGCAAGGGGAGCGGCAGACGGGCGAGUAACGCGUGGGAAUCUACCCAUCUCUACGGAAUAACGCAUGGAAACGUGUGCUAAUACCGUAUACGUCCUUCGGGAGGAAGAUUUAUCGGAGAUGGAUGAGCCCGCGUUGGAUUAGCUAGUUGGUGGGGUAAAGGCCUACCAAGGCGACGAUCCAUAGCUGGUCUGAGAGGAUGAUCAGCCACACUGGGACUGAGACACGGCCCAGACUCCUACGGGAGGCAGCAGUGGGGAAUAUUGGACAAUGGGCGCAAGCCUGAUCCAGCCAUGCCGCGUGAGUGAUGAAGGCCCUAGGGUUGUAAAGCUCUUUCACCGGUGAAGAUAAUGACGGUAACCGGAGAAGAAGCCCCGGCUAACUUCGUGCCAGCCGCCGCGGUAAAAC
rnacentral:rRNA from 1 species